rnacentral:misc_RNA from 1 species
UAGUCCCUGAUUUUGCUUCCAG